rnacentral:rRNA from 1 species
GUCUUCAGCCAAAUCACCCGGAAUGUAGCCGAUGUUAUCAGAGCUCAGAAGCUAAGCAGCGUUGAGCCUGGAUUGCACUUGGAUGGGCUACCACCACCCAUCAAACAGUUGCUGUAGGCU